AGAGUUUGAUCCUGGCUCAGAUUGAACGCUGGCGGCAGGCCUAMCACAUGCAAGUCGAGCGAGAAAGCCCUUCGGGGUGAGUACAGCGGCGGACGGGUGAGUAACGCGUAGGAAUCUACCCAGUGGUGGGGGACAACUUGGGGAAACCCAAGCUAAUACCGCAUACGCCCUGAGGGGGAAAGCGGGGGAUCUCUUCUUUCGAGAAGGGACCUCGCGCCAUUGGAUGAGCCUGCGUCGGAUUAGCUGGUUGGUGGGGUAAUGGCCCACCAAGGCGACGAUCCGUAGCUGGUCUGAGAGGAUGAUCAGCCACACUGGGACUGAGACACGGCCCAGACUCCUACGGGAGGCAGCAGUGGGGAAUAUUGCGCAAUGGGGGCAACCCUGACGCAGCCAUGCCGCGUGUGUGAAGAAGGCCCUAGGGUUGUAAAGCACUUUCAAUUGGGAAGAAAAGCUGUUGCUUAAUACGUAACAGCCCUGACAUUACCUUUAGAAGAAGCACCGGCUAACUCCGUGCCAGCAGCCGCGGUAAUACGGAGGGUGCGAGCGUUAAUCGGAAUUACUGGGCGUAAAGCGCGCGUAGGCGGUUAUUUAAGUCGGAUGUGAAAGCCCCGGGCUCAACCUGGGAACUGCAUACGAUACUGGGUAACUAGAGUACGAGAGAGGGAGGUAGAAUUCCACGUGUAGCGGUGAAUGCGUAGAUAUGUGGAGGAAUACCGGUGGCGAAGG
rnacentral:rRNA from 1 species